rnacentral:misc_RNA from 1 species
CUUUAUUAUUGUUAUUUUUUUUUAUUCUUGGGGUUUUUGAAACUGACUUGUUUGUCAAUAAAUCGAAGCCCACUUUAUAUUGAGACAAAAGCAAACCAUCGUCGUGGCCUUGCUCUUUCACCGUAAACCCUUAGGAGAGAUUUUCUUAGCACCAAAACAAGAACUGAAGGACACGAGUACACUGGAAUGUCGUUGUCGUUUACUUUGAAGCAACCGUCUUAGCGAAGACAAUGGCCAUCGCCACCGCAGUGAUCCCUUUGAAGCUCAUCACCAGUCGCAGGCUUCAGCCUAAAAAUCAUACUCCGAUUCUUGCCCAAAAUCGGCCCUUCAAGGUCUCAUGCUGUGUUCUUCACAAUCCAAGCUCUCUCCAUACUCAUUUUCAGAAACUCGUCGAUGAAUUUGACCCUUGUAUUCCGAUAGAGAAAGCCCUGACUCCACCCAGAUCCUGGUACAGCGACCCUUCAUUUUACGAUUAUGAGCUCCGUCGUGUCUUCUAUGGAGGAUGGCAGGCUGUUGGAUUCACUGAACAGAUAACGGAUUCUCGUGACUUUUUCACAGGAAGAUUUGGAAAUGUAGAAUUUCUUGU